rnacentral:rRNA from 1 species
GGGGAAUAUUGCACAAUGGGGGAAACCCUGAUGCAGCGACGCCGCGUGAGUGAAGAAGGUCUUCGGAUCGUAAAACUCUGUCCUUGGUGAAGAAUAAUGACGGUAACCAAGGAGGAAGCCCCGGCUAACUACGUGCCAGCAGCCGCGGUAAUACGUAGGGGGCGAGCGUUGUCCGGAUUUACUGGGCGUAAAGGGUGAGUAGGCGGUUAUAUAAGUCAGAUGUAAAAGGCUAUGGCUUAACCAUAGUUAGCAUUUGAAACUGUAUGACUUGAGUGCAGGAGAGGUAAGCGGAAUUCCUAGUGUAGCGGUGAAAUGCGUAGAUAUUAGGAGGAACACCAGUGGCGAAGGCGGCUUACUGGACUGUAACUGACGCUGAGUCACGAAAGCGUGGGUAGCAAAC